rnacentral:rRNA from 1 species
UACAGAGGUCUCAAGCGUUGUUCGGAUUCAUUGGGCGUAAAGGGUGUGUAGGUGGCGCCGUAAGUCGGGUGUGAAAUUUCGGAGCUUAACUCCGAAACUGCAUUCGAUACUGCGGUGCUUGAGGACUGGAGAGGAGACUGGAAUUCAUGGUGUAGCAGUGAAAUGCGCAGAUAUCAGGAGGAACACCGAUGGCGAAGGCAGCUCGCUGGGACGGUACUGACGCUGAGACGCGAAAGCGUGGGGAGCAAACAGG